GUGGGGAAUAUUGGACAAUGGGCGAAAGCCUGAUCCAGCCAUGCCGCGUGAGUGAUGAAGGCCUUAGGGUUGUAAAGCUCUUUCAGUAGGGAAGAUAAUGACGGUACCUACAGAAGAAGCCCCGGCUAACUUCGUGCCAGCAGCCGCGGUAAUACGAAGGGGGCUAGCGUUGUUCGGAUUUACUGGGCGUAAAGCGCACGUAGGCGGAUUGGUCAGUUAGGGGUGAAAUCCCAGAGCUCAACUCUGGAACUGCCCUUAAUACUGCCAAUCUAGAGUCCGGAAGAGGUGAGUGGAACUCCUAGUGUAGAGGUGGAAUUCGUAGAUAUUAGGAAGAACACCAGUGGCGAAGGCGGCUCACUGGUCCGGUACUGACGCUGAGGUGCGAAAGCGUGGGGAGCAAACAGGAUUAGAAACCCUUGUAGUCC
rnacentral:rRNA from 1 species